GUAGUACUCCCUCCGUCCUAAAAUUCUUGUCUUAGAUUUGUCUAAAUACGGAUGUAUGAAGUCACAUUUUAGUAUUAGAUACAUCCGUAUCUAGACGAAUCUAAGACAAGAAUUUUGGGACGGAGGGAGUACUAA
rnacentral:pre_miRNA from 1 species